CUUUUGCUGGCGACCGGCGCACGGGUGAGUAACACGUAUCCAACCUGCCGAUAACUCGGGGAUAGCCUUUCGAAAGAAAGAUUAAUACCCGAUGGUAUAAUCAGACCGCAUGGUUUGAUUAUUAAAGAAUUUCGGUUAUCGAUGGGGAUGCGUUCCAUUAGGCAGUUGGUGAGGUAACGGCUCACCAAACCUUCGAUGGAUAGGGGUUCUGAGAGGAAGGUCCCCCACAUUGGAACUGAGACACGGUCCAA
rnacentral:rRNA from 1 species